AUGAACUCACUCUCACACACUCAUAACAUAAAAAAUUUCAUAAGUGUCGGAAGAACAAUCACUUUCUUCACUUAGAUGGCAAAUGUUUUGGCCUUGGAUCUUUGAAGUAAAGUGGUAUUACAAACUUGGAGUUUUUGUAAACGUUGGGGAUUCUAUAGCUGGAGUUGAGAUGAAGGCACACUAGGAUUGACAAAUCCCAUUGCAGGAGUAGGGGGUGUUGUGUUUCGGCCAAGAGAUGUUGAGAAGGGAAAUUGGCCGAUGCUAGAGGCCAAGGACAUAGCAGGACCAUCUAGGGUAGUCGGCGAUUAAGGCUUCAUUGAUGAACUAUCGGUACCUUGGUUGGUGUCAACUCGGGUUUGAAGGUGCUAAAAACACAAGAAAUAGGAAGGGGUUUGAAUUGUGUUUCGUCAUUUCUAAAAGAUGCUUCAAAAGCUUAACCAAAAAGUAGAGUCAGAGCUCGCUUUCUUAGUGGACGAUCCUAUACGGUAUGUCUCGGAGGUUGAGAAUUGCUUCAAGAUUCCAACUUUGCCAAAGCCACCUAUCUCGUGGGUGGACCUAAUGUUUGAGGAGGGAUCCCUCUUUCAUUGGAGAGGAGAAGAAGGCUACUUCUAUGAGGGAUAUUGCAUCGGAGGGACCAUGUGUUAUAUGUGGAGGUCACCCUUGCAACUGUUGUAAUUAGUCUUACAAUUAGAUUAAGAUUGUGUAUAUGGUCGUAGUGCCUCUCUUUUGGUGGUUGUACUUAUUUUAUUUUGGAGAUUAUUGUAUCUAUGACAAACUUUGGCAGGUGACAUUUGUUGGUGGAUCCAUGUGGGGAUAACAUUCUUGGAGCAUCACUUCUACAUAGCUGUCUGCCGAGAAUACUCUAGAGGAAGCUUUGGAAUGGAGACUUUGGUCACUUGAAUCUUCUGCACCUUUUUUAUUGAUACAUGCAAAUGACGAUAGGCUUUGUAAUGAUAUAUGUUUGAUACAUACAAAUGACUAUAGGCUUUAGAUGUGCCUUUUAAGUUUUUGGUCUGCUUGGUUUGGGCUCAUAUAUAGGUUUGUGAACAAUUUCAUUUUGAUUUGUGUUUGAUCAUAUUUUUGUCAAAUUUCACUUAUCAAUAAUAGUACUCAAUUGAAUAGCAUAUAUUUAUUACUGCUCAUUGGUUUUCCACGAUAUUCAAUCACUAUUUAAUUGGUAAUGUGUCAAAUUAAAUCUUGUAUAUGUACACCCAUUUUGUGGUGUUGGACUUUGGCGGAACAUUCUCUUUAUA